rnacentral:sRNA from 1 species
CUAGUCACUGCGAUUUAUAAGAUUCGAACCUGCCGCAGGUCCGGGUCGAACGCAGUGAGACAACGGAGCCGUUUACGGCGACGGCCCGAAGGGCGAGCGAAGCGAGUCAUCCUGCACGACCCACCA